UACGUAGGGUGCGAGCGUUGUCCGGAAUCAUUGGGCGUAAAGCGCGCGUAGGUGGCUUCGUAAGUCCGUUGUGAAAGUCAAAGGCUCAACCUUUGAAAGCCGAUGGAUACUGUGAAGCUAGAGUACGGAAGAGGCGAGUGGAAUUCCUGGUGUAGCGGUGGAAUGCGCAGAUAUCAGGAGGAACACCAAUAGCGAAGGCAGCUCGCUGGGACGUUACUGACACUGAGGCGCGAAAGCGUGGGGAGCGAACAGG
rnacentral:rRNA from 1 species